UAUCCUGCAGUAGUUUAGCUUCAGCCCUCAUAAAAACUCACCUGCCUGUAUCUAUCUAGUAAUUCCGAAAACACUGAUUGCCUUGUUCAGGUGUGUUUAAUAGGGUUGGAGCUAAACUCUGCAGGACAGUGGCCCCUCCAGGGACCCGAAGUUACCCUAUCCCCUGAUCUCACACACACACACACACACACACACACACACACAGAUGCGUACAUUUAAUUAAAACAACAGUGCAUUUUUCAUAGUACAUAGUCUAUAGUUUUUUUUUUCAGUUCAAUGUUUAUAAUCAAUCUGUAGAUUUGACUAUACUAAUUUCUAGCAUGUACUGCCUUUAAAAAUGGAUUAGUGCUAUUAUUUUCUACUACUAAAAUAAUAUUUAUUUAUGACUAAAUAAAAAAUCUUGUCAGUGAAGACACCUUCAAUAAUUGUCCAGAAUCUGUUAUUUUAAACUAAUAAAUGUUUUGAUCCUGCUGGCUCAGAGCUAUGGUAUGCCUUGAUGUGCUUUAUAUGGAGCCUUACGUUUAAAUAACCAUGCAUUAAAAUAAAUCCACACGGUUUACAAUAACAACACAUCUGUCCUGCUAUGCAUAAAUUUCAUUUUAAAACAGAAAGGUUCGAUUGUUAUCCCAGGAGCCAGUCUCAGUGAGUGAAUGUGCGAGUGUGUGUGUUUAAUAGGCUCAGUUUUCCGCUACACUCUGGCAAGCGGCCAGUCCCGUCUCUCUCUCUCUCUCUCGAAUCCAUAUUCGGGUUCCAAAUCCAAAGCCUUUGAUCUUUCUCGCUGUGUCUCCUUUACCCGGAAGAGAACCGUCGCUUUCUCUCUCAGCUGGGAUGAAGGCGCGCGUGGAAAUGUUGGCCCGUCUCCAUCCUCACGCCAUAUAUGGUCAUACAAAGGCAUGGGAUGAAAGAGGCCGCCGCAGCCAGAUCAAAGGCAGCCAUGGCUCCGCCCACUGGCCCCACCUCCGCCUGCUUUAUAAAGAUCUGCCUCCUACUCCAAACUUAUUCUCACGCAAGCCGCAGAAACACUUCCCAAUGUUUUUCUUCCCCCUUCUUGUUUCCUGAUACACCGAGGGAGGGCUCCUUGAAUUGAUCUGGU
rnacentral:lncRNA from 1 species